rnacentral:rRNA from 1 species
CUCGUCCUCGGUUCCUGCCCCGCUUUCCUGCUCCUUUUUUUCGAACACCUUUCGUUCUCCUUCGGCGGGGCAACCUGCCGCUGGAAUUUAACAAAACCUUUUUUUGCAUCUAGCAUUACCUGUUCUGAUACAAACAAUCGUUACAACUUUCAACAAUGGAUCUCUUGGCUCUGGCAUCCAUUAAAAACGCAACGAAAUGCGAUAAGUAAUGUGAAUUGCAAAAUUCAGUGAAUCAUCCAAUCUUUGAACGCACAUUGCGCCCCUUGGUAUUCCAUGGGGCAUGCCUGUUCCAGCGUCAUCUACACCCUCAAGCUCUGCUUGGUGUUGGGCGUCUGUCCCGCCUCUGCGCGCGGACUCCCCCCAAAUUCAUUGGCAGCGGUCCUUGCCUCCUCUCGCGCAACACAAUUGCGUCUGCGGGGGGGCGGGGCCCGCGUCCACGAAGCUACAUUACCGUCUUUGACCUCGGAUCAGGUAGGGAUACCCGCUGAACUUAAGCAUAUCAAUAAGCCG